rnacentral:lncRNA from 1 species
AUUACAGGCGUGUGCUCUAUCCCCAUGCCCCUAAUCUGGGCUCAGAGGAAUCCAGGAGUUGAGCUGUGAAAGGAAGGAGUGACAUCUCCUAUGAAUUCAGCACUGACCCUGCCACUUUGCUCAGAUACUCAAAAAGGACUUGAGUUCCUUAUAUGUGUCAAGCACUCUUCUAAACCUGAGGGUUCAGUAGUGCACAUAGUGAAGUUCCUUUCCUCAUAGAGAAUAGGCUGUAGUGGGGAAUAUAGAGAAUAAGUCAGGAGGGAAGUUUCCAGAAGCAGUAAGAACUAUGUAGAAAAUAAAGUAGGAUAAUGUCAGAAUUUCUUGAAUGGCCCCUUGGGGGAGUGAGUUCUCUGAGGAGGGGAGAAUCCUGGGAAGGAAGCAAUUCUGAAGAUGUGGGCAAAGAGCAACUCAAGCAGGAGGGACAUUAAAUUCUAAGACUCUGAUCCUAGAAUGAGCUUGUGAAUGAAUGAAUCCUGACAUCCCACAGGUCUCUAAGCUCUGGGGAUGGUUUGACUCACAAGUGUGUUUGCACUAUUUGAAGAUGGAAGUAGGAUGGAUUGUCACAUAAGGAGUGCGUCACUGGUGGGAAGGAGUGUGGAAUUUAUCCUCAAUGUAAAUGGGGAGCUAUAGGAGGGUUUAGAGCAGGAGAGCAACAGGAUCUGAUUUAGGUUUUAGAAUAUGCUGCUCUUGCUGCUGGGUAAAAGACAAGAGUGCCCAAAGCAGGCUGGAAUGCUCAUUAGGGAUCUGUGGCAGUGGGCCAGGUGAGUGGGCCUGGACUAGAAUUGGAAACAUCGCUGAUGAGGAGCGAUGAGACUCAGUAUAUACAGUUUGCAGGUAGAACUGACAGAAUGACCUGCUAAUAGAGUGAAAUGAGUUCCGAGGGACAGAGAUGAUUCCUAGUUGAGCGCCUAAGCAGUUAAUCAAAUGUAAUGACUGAGGAAGAGUUGGGGGAAUUGAUGGGAAACAAGUUUGAUUUGCUAAAUUUGCAAUCUGGAUAUUGGCAUCUAGUAUGCCUUUGGAUGCAAGCACCUGGGGUUAUGGAGCAAGGUUCAGGAUGGAGAUAAAAAAUUUGGAAGCUCUCAGACUGUAACUGGUCUGUACUGUCAAGGGAAUGAGUGAGAUCAGGGGAGAGAGCAGGAAGGCAGGAGUAUUGAGGACAAGCCUGGCAACCCCAGAGUAUUCAGAGGCUGGUGAAGGGGCAGCGGGGCUGGCAGAGUAAAUGAACAGCUGGUGAAGCCAGAGAGAACUCAGAGGAGUGUAGGGCCUUGAAACCCAGAACAUUUGGAAAAAGAAUGUGGUUUGGUGAAGUAGGAUGAAUCUGGCAGGUUAAGUAAGAAAAGUAGGUUCCUGGAGACCUUUAAAAACCUUUUCUGUGGACCAACAGGGGUGAACGCUCAGCUGGAGCAAGCUGAGGAGUGAAUAAGGGAUAAAGAAGAGGAUGCAGAAUCCGACCCAUAGUGAAGCAGGAGAGCCAAGGAGGGCCAGCACCGGUGGAAGUUAGUGCUGUGGACAUGGUUGGCCGCUUGAGCAAGAGGGCCACUGCAACAGGGAGAUGCAUCUAUAAAGCCCAUCUGCCAGUUCAUCAACAUCUGUCCCAUUACAACAGAAAAUAGUCCACCCUGUUAUCAACUGCUUGUGUGUGAUGGAUUGAAUCCUCUUGUUAAGGAAGAAGGGUUGUCCAACAAUUGUAUUUGCCAGAUUCAUCAAUUUAUUGCUAACACUCUGAAAGAUGGAAGGAGAGUAGUUAUUUUGAUGGACUUAGAAGUUUUGAACUCAGCUGAAACAGUUGGGAUGAAGUUUGGCAAUCCAGUGCCCUAUCAUGAAGGACACAGGCAGCAGCAAGUUCCUUCUCCCAUCUCACCUGUCAAUCCAUCACCCAGCAAGCCCCAGCAACAGAAUGGGAGCUCCGGAGAGGUUUCCACUGUAUCUAAGGCUUAUGGUGCCUCAGAAACAUUUGGAACACCUGAAGGGACCGGUCUAUUGCAUCCUUCUGGGGGGACACAGACCAAAGUGGUACCCAUCGCCAGCCUCACACCUUUCCAGUCCAAGUGGACUAUCAAUGCUGUGUAACCAGAACCUGGAGCAAUUCUUGAGGAGAAGGAAAACUUUUCUGUAAAGAAAUAGUUGAUGAAAGUGAUGAAAUCACAGCUAGUGCUUUCAGUGAUCAAGUGGACAAGUUCUUGCCCUUAUUGAAGUUGACAAGGGGUAUUAUUUCUCAAAAUGCACCCUGAAGAUCACUAACAAAAAAUUCUCAGCUGUUAAAAAUGACUGAGAAUGGGUGCGAUGGCACAUGCUUGUAAUCCCAGUGGCUCAGGAGGCUGAGACAGGAGAAUCAUGAGUUCACAGCCAGCAUCAGCAAAAGCCAGGUGCUAAGCAACUCAGUGAGACCCUGUCUCUAAAUAAAAUACACAAUAGGGCUGGGGAUGUGGCUCAGUGGUUGAGUGCCCCUUGAGUUCAAUCCCCAGUCCAAAAAAAAAAAAAAAGACUCAUUCAAUAAAUGAGAUUUCAGUUAUGCCCUGUGACGAUGGUCAUCAUCACAGGGAUUGGUGACAUAGAGAACAUAAUCUGCAUCUGCAAGAGCUAUGAAGAUGCCAUUAAAAUCGCAACAAAGUGUAACAACAGAGAAGUUGCUGAAAGAAGCAUCUCUGUGAUGGACUUGUCAGGGCAAGUAGUGACUGCUACUCUCUGGGGAGAAGAUGCUGACAAGUUCUAUGGUUCUAGCCCGUGAUGCCAUGGAAGGAGCCAAAGUCUCUGAUGGAGGCUUUCUUUCCAUGCUGUUUUCAAGCACUAUCAUUGUGACAUCCCACAGGCCUCUAAACUCUGGGGAUGGUUCGACUCACAAGUACAAGCCUUGUAUGGUGUUUCCAUCUUGAUCUAAAGAGUGGAGAAGGAGGAGGGAGCAAUUCCAACUGGAAAACCUUUACAAGAGGUUAAAUCGGAGAACCUGGCCAGGGUGACAAGGCAGGCUAGCUUAGCUCUUGGCAACAGUGGUGUAAUUUUGCAAAGAGAACUGUGUGCACCAGGUUGCCUGACCUAGGACUGCAGUGAGAAAGCGAUUGACCAACAGAAUGGAUUAUUCCACUGUGAAAAGUGCGACAGUGAAUUUGCCAGUUUGAUCUUGUCAGUGAAUAUCACGGAUUUCCAAGAGAAUCAAUGAGUGACUUGUUUCCAGGAGUCUGCUGAAACCAUCUGUGGACAAAAUACUGCUUCUCUUGAGGAAUUAAAAGAGAGGAAUGAGCAGGCAUUUGAAGAAGUUUUCCAGAUCACCAACUUUCAAACUUUCACAUUCAGAAUCAGGGUCAAACUUCAGACCUACAAGAGGGUGCCGAAUUAAAGCCACCAUGAUGGCCGUGGAGCCCGUGGACUGCAGAGACUAUGGCAGAAGGCUGACCAUGAACACCAGAGAAAUGCAGUGAUGUCGGCGAACAGAGUGUGAAGCAGCUAAAAUGGAGCCAGUUUCUUCCCACCCCCCAAUGACAGCCCCGCACCACCUACACCGUCAGAGCACCUCUGUGAGCCUCUUAGGACCCAGGCAGAGGACUAGGUGCUCAGAGGGCUCUGGUGCAAACUGUUAGACCUGGGGAUCAGCAGCAGGGGUCAUAGCCCAGGUCCUGCCCUUGGACUUCAGGCUUUUGUCGAUUUUAAGAUUUGUUAUCUUCAAGCAGCAACUAUGUCACAAGUAAUUGACCCCAACUCUGCACAGUGAAAUGUGUCACUCAGGGUAGCAGGGGGGGCGGGUAGAAUGCAGAGCAGGUUCGUGAAUGUUCAGGUCAUCUAAUGCUACCUUAGAAAACAUCGAACACUUAGUGGCAUAAAACAGUAACAACAGCCGGGCUAUGUAGAGCACACCUGUAAUCCCACUAGCUCGGGCCGAGGCAGGAGGAUCGAAAGUUCAGAGCAAGCCUCAGCAAAAGCAAGGCCCUAAGCAACUCAGUGAGACCCUGUCUCUAAAUAAAAUACAAAAUCGGGCUGGAGAUGUGGUUCAGUGGUUGAGUGCCCCUAAAUUCAAUCUCUGGUACUAAAAAAAAAGAAAGAAAGAAAACAGCAACAACUAAGUUGUUGGUUAGUGCCUCACCAUUGCUGAGGCUGGACUCCAACUUGUGUUCCUCCUGCCUCAGCCUCCUGAGCCAUUGGGAUUAUGGGCAUGAGCCACUGCACCUGAAUUAAAUUUCUUUUAAAAAUCAAAAUAAAAGGUGAGCCAGAUGCAGUGGCCCACAACUAUAAUUCCAAUGACUCAGGAGGCUGAGGCAGGAGGAUCACAAGUUCCAGGCCAACCUCAGCAACUUAGCAAGACUCUGUCUCAAAACAAAAUCUAAAAGUGGGUCAGAGUGUAGCCCGGCACUAGUGUGCUUGCCUAGCAUGUGAAGGCCCUGGCUUUGAUUCCCAGUCCUUCAAAGACAAAAUGAACACAAUCUUCAUUUUUAUACUGAGUGAUGAAAUAUAAUUUUAAUAUUUACUUAUCUAAUUUUUACAUAAUGACCCAUGAAGACAAAAGUGUGGCCCACCAAAGUCAUGAUGUGGUCCUGGAUGUGUGGUCAGGACAGAUUGUCUUGUUUUCAUUCAGGUAAUAUUAAAGCAUGUCUGAAUGCUGACAGGUGUGAUCUGUUAGAAAUCGAAGCUGCAGAAGAGAAAAGGAUGAAUCGUGAGAACAAAGUCUAGUAGGUGAAAAGAGACAUCAUCUGGGAAGCAAGUGUCAGGGCAGACAGGUAAGGAAGUGGGCAGGGGAUGCCGCUUCCACUGCAGCAGAAGAGGGCAGAGGAUGUGGGCACAGAGACACAGAAGUUGGUAAACAUUGGUGGGAAGAGUUGCUGUUUGGCUCCUCUGUCUCUCUGUGAAGGAUGCCACUUGGUCACUGCGCCCGUGGGAGUGCAUGGAAGGUGUGGAGGCAGGAAGUCUUUUCUAGAGGAAGAGUGACUUUGGCGGGGAAGAGCAUGAAAGUCCACCAUUAUUUGAAGUGUGUGCAGCCAGCGUGAUUUUAGGAUCAUCUCUAGCAGUGCUCAGUCUCCUGGGUGCGGUGAGGUGUUAGUACACAGUAAGUAGAAUUGACCAGGACCUGGUUUUGCCAAGGGAGUUGGAGGGAGAGGGGGUGCAGAGAAGUCAAGGAAACAGCAAGCACGCAGGGCAGUGGGGUGAGGACAAGGAGGAAAAGAGGACAUGAGCAAGGUGACAGAUGCUAGAUCAACAUGAUGGAAGUGUCACUCAGAUUGGUGAAUUACUGCAGUGCAGGUAUUAGAAUAAGCCAUUAGAGAGGCUGACUAGAGAAGGCAAUGUCUGGGCUGGGGUUGUAGCUCGCCUGGCACAUGUGAGGCACUGGGUUCAAUCCUCAGCACCACAUAAGAAUAAAUAAAUAAGGGCUGGGGAUGUGGCUCAAGCGGUAACGCGCUCGCCUGGCAUGCGUGCGGCCCGGGUUCGAUCCUCAGCACCACAUACAAACAGAGAUGUUUU